rnacentral:rRNA from 1 species
UGCACAAUGGGGGAAACCGUGAUGAAGCAUGCCGCUUGUGUGUAAAAGAGCUUUGGGAAGUUAAACCCCUUCAGAAAGGAAGAAAGGGUGAGUCUUAAUACGGCUCAUCUGUGACGUUACCUACAGAAGAAGGACCGGCUAACUCCGUGCCAGCAGCCGCGGUAAUACGGAGGGUCCGAGCGUUAAUCGGAAUUACUGGGCGUA